rnacentral:rRNA from 1 species
GACGAACGCUGGCGGCGUGCUUAACACAUGCAAGUCGAGCGGAAAGGCCCUUCGGGGUACUCGAGCGGCGAACGGGUGAGUAACACGUGAGUAAUCUGCCCCAGGCUCUGGGAUAGCCACCGGAAACGGUGAUUAAUACCGGAUACGACAACCGAUUGCAUGAUCUGGUUGUGGAAAGUUUUUCGGCCUGGGAUGUGCUCGCGGCCUAUCAGCUUGUUGGUGAGGUAAUGGCUCACCAAGGCUUCGACGGGUAGCCGGCCUGAGAGGGUGACCGGCCACACUGGGACUGAGACACGGCCCAGACUCCUACGGGAGGCAGCAGUGGGGAAUAUUGGACAAUGGGCGGAAGCCUGAUCCAGCAACGCCGCGUGAGGGAUGACGGCCUUCGGGUUGUAAACCUCUUUCAGCACAGACGAAGCGCAAGUGACGGUAUGUGCAGAAGAAGGACCGGCCAACUACGUGCCAGCCGCCGCCGUAACAC